rnacentral:rRNA from 1 species
GAUGAACGCUGGCGGCGUGCUUAACACAUGCAAGUCGAACGAUGAAGCCCAGCUUGCUGGGUGGAUUAGUGGCGAACGGGUGAGUAACACGUGAGUAACCUGCCCUUAACUCUGGGAUAAGCCUGGGAAACUGGGUCUAAUACCGGAUAGGAGCGCCUACCGCAUGGUGGGUGUUGGAAAGAUUUAUCGGUUUUGGCUGGACUCGCGGCCUAUCAGCUUGUUGGUGAGGUAAUGGCUCACCAAGGCGACGACGGGUAGCCGGCCUGGGAGGGUGACCGGCCACACUGGGACUGAGACACGGCCCAGACUCCUACGGGAGGCAGCAGUGGGGAAUCUUGCACAAUGGGCGCAAGCCUGAUGCAGCGGCGCCGCGUGAGGGAUGACGGCCUUCGGGUUGUAAACCUCUUUCAGUAGGGAAGAAGCGAAAGUGACGGUACCUGCAGAAGAAGCACCGGCUAACUACGUG